rnacentral:rRNA from 1 species
GAUGAACGCUGACAGAAUGCUUAACACAUGCAAGUCAACUUGAACUUCGGUUUGGGUGGCGGACGGGUGAGUAACGCGUAAAGAACUUGCCUCACAGAUAGGGACAACAUUUGGAAACGAAUGCUAAUACCUGAUAUUAUGAUUAUAUGGCAUCGUAUAAUUAUGAAAGCUAUAUGCGCUGUGAGAGAGCUUUGCGUCCCAUUAGCUAGUUGGAGAGGUAACGGCUCACCAAGGCGACGAUGGGUAGCCGGCCUGAGAGGGUGAUCGGCCACAAGGGGACUGAGACACGGCCCUUACUCCUACGGGAGGCAGCAGUGGGGAAUAUUGGACAAUGGACCAAGAGUCUGAUCCAGCAAUUCUGUGUGCACGAUGAAGUUUUUCGGAAUGUAAAGUGCUUUCAGUUGGGAAGAAAAAAAUGACGGUACCAACAGAAGAAGUGACGGCUAACUACGUG